GAAGUGGAGAAAUUGCUGUAAAACCAAUUUUUAAUGUUUCCGUUUACUUUCCGUAUUACAAAUGACAUCACAUGACUGAUCACAUGACCAUACAAGUUUAAAAUGGAGAAAAAGUUGCUUGAUGGUGUUGCUACUUAAAACUCUAGUUCCAUCAUUGUUUAGGAUAAAGACAAAGCCAUCAAGCCAACUAAGGAAGAGCCAGUUACCAUUCCAGUUAUGGUGUGCGUUCCCUCUUAGCCUCUGAGAACAAAGGACAUAGUGCUACAGACCUAGAAAAGCAAAGACAAAACAUUUAAAACAGUUUCUU